AGGAGCCUCCCCUAUCCAUGCUGGAAUGUUGAAGGGACCAAUCUGACACCAGUUCUUUACAACAUAUGAUUUUACUUUAAGUUAAUUUAACCCUUAGUUAAAUCAUUUAAGUUCUUUGAUUUCAGCCCCACCGUAUCUUCACCUUGGACUAUAGGCUUGGUUGCCUGAGGCACAUUUGGAUGCACUGGAGUCACUUCUGUUACUCAUUCUGCCUCUGACUGGAUGAGGGAUGUGAAGGAGACUUCAGGGUGUGAAGUUUGGUGUCCUUCGUGGUUCAUGUGCUUGAACCUUCGUUCCCAGUAGGUGGCGCUGUUUUCGAAGGUUAAGAAAUCCUUAGAAGGAUUCAGGUCGGGCCUUGGGCCUCUAUUUCCUACAGGAGCUUUCUGUUUCCUGAUCUGUGAAGAUGUGGACAAGCCACGUGACAAGCUGGAGAGGCGAUCCUCUGUUACAGAAAAGAGCCAGCUGAGCAAGGUGUGGGGAACAAGGCAGUUUCUCAGGUCCCCGCUUCAGUUUCUGCCUCCAGAUCCCUUCCUUGGCUUUCCUCAGCGAUCAGGUCAUGGACCCACCUCUCUCUCCACCACUGCUGGGAAAGUCUUUGCAGCUCGACUUUGAAUCUCACCUCCUUCAGAAGCGUUGACAGGCCCUGCAAGAUCAGACGAGAGCUCCUAGCUCCUGCUUCAGCACCGUGCUUGCCUGUGUGGUGCCAUGCUCCCUGCCAUGAUGGUCAUGAACUUACCACUGGAAUGGUUGUUCCUGUCAUGGAUUUUUAUCAUAGUGUUGAGAAGAGCGACUCUCAUGAACUAACACAAUGACAUCACACUGGGUUGCUUACAGUUUGGAGGUUUUAUUUCUCACAGCUCUGAAGACUACAUCAAGUUGUCAAUGGACUCGUCCUGACCUCAGAGAAAGAAAGUGAGUCAACUUGGGCUACUGUGGCUAGAUCUCCCAUCAGUCCAUCCUUCCAGUUCUGUGGCUGCCUUGUGGACAGUGCUGCACUAUAAAUCUGCCUGUCUGUCAGCACUCUAAGGAGGAUCUAGCUGUGCAUCCCAGCCUGGCUCUGAUACCACCAUCUUCUUGCCUGCACCUUCUGAGUGCUGGGAUCACAAGUACUUGUUGCUGCACCUGACUUGCCAUCUUGGUCCCUUGAUCAAACCUGGAAGGAGACCUGUCGAGAUGGAGAGAACUGCCUUGGUGGUAAGGUUAGACCCACUGGCUGCUGCCCCAUUGACUGUGUAUGAGGAGGGAGGCAACAGAAUGUGUGGUUAACCAAUGGCUGGAUAAUAAAAGCAUCCCUGGGGGCUGGUGAGAUGGCUCAGUGGGUGAACUGCUUGUUGUGGCAAUUGUGAGAACAGAAGUUUGGAUAACCCGAACCCAUACUAGAAGCACCUGGAUGGUAGGCUUGCUUCUUGUAUCCUGACAUGGUUGGGCACACCUAGGAGUAGGUACAAGGCUCACAAAUCCAAGGUUGUCUGCACUGUGACCAAGGCAACUUACAAAUAAAGUGUUUAAUUUUG
rnacentral:lncRNA from 1 species